AAUGGGCGGGAGCCUGAACCAGCCAAGUCGCGUGAAGGAAGAAGGAUCUAUGGUUCGUAAACUUCUUUUGCAGGGGAAUAAAGUGCAGGACGUGUCCUGUUUUGUAUGUACCCUGAGAAUAAGGAUCGGCUAACUCCGUGCCAGCAGCCGCGGUAAUACGGAGGAUCCGAUCGUUCUCCGGAUUUNUUGGGUUUAAAGGGUGCGUAGGCUGACUGAUAAGUCAGCGGUGAAAAGCAUAGUCUUAACCUAUGUCUUGCCGUUGAUACUGUCAGACUAGAAUAUAAAUGGAGUAGGCGGAAUGAAUCAUGUAGAGGUGACAUUCAUAGAUAUGAUUUAGAACACCGUUCGCGAAGGCGGCUUACUAAGAUAUAAUUGACGCUGAUGCACGAAAGCGUGGGUAUCGAA
rnacentral:rRNA from 1 species